rnacentral:rRNA from 2 species
UAGAGGAAGUAAAAGUCGUAACAAGGUCUCCGUUGGUGAACCAGCGGAGGGAUCAUUACCGAGUUUACAACUCCCAAACCCCUGUGAACAUACCUUAAUGUUGCCUCGGCGGAUCAGCCCGCGCCCCGUAAAACGGGACGGCCCGCCAGAGGACCCAAACUCUAAUGUUUCUUAUUGUAACUUCUGAGUAAAACAAACAAAUAAAUCAAAACUUUCAACAACGGAUCUCUUGGUUCUGGCAUCGAUGAAGAACGCAGCAAAAUGCGAUAAGUAAUGUGAAUUGCAGAAUUCAGUGAAUCAUCGAAUCUUUGAACGCACAUUGCGCCCGCUGGUAUUCCGGCGGGCAUGCCUGUUCGAGCGUCAUUUCAACCCUCAAGCCCCCGGGUUUGGUGUUGGGGAUCGGCUCUGCCUCACGGCGGCGCCGCCCCCGAAAUACAUUGGCGGUCUCGCUGCAGCCUCCAUUGCGUAGUAGCUAACACCUCGCAACUGGAACGCGGCGCGGCCAUGCCGUAAAACCCCAACUUCUGAAUGUUGA